rnacentral:rRNA from 1 species
AACGAACGCUGGCGGCAUGCCUAACACAUGCAAGUCGAACGAGACCUUCGGGUCUAGUGGCGCACGGGUGCGUAACGCGUGGGAACCUGCCCUUAGGUUCGGAAUAACUCCCCGAAAGGGGUGCUAAUACCGGAUAAUGUCUUCGGACCAAAGAUUUAUCGCCUUUGGAUGGGCCCGCGUUGGAUUAGCUAGUUGGUAGGGUAAAAGCCUACCAAGGCGACGAUCCAUAGCUGGUCUGUGAGGAUGAUCAGCCACACUGGGACUGAGACACGGCCCAGACUCCUACGGGAGGCAGCAGUGGGGAAUAGUGGACAAUGGGCGAAAGCCUGAUCCAGCAAUGCCGCGUGAGUGAUGAAGGCCUUAGGGUUGUAAAGCUCUUUUACCCGGGAUGAUAAUGACAGUACCGGGAGAAUAAGCUCCGGCUAACUCCGUG